GUGAAUCAUCAAAUUUUUGAACGCAAAUUGCACUCUCUUUGGCGAGUAUGCCUGUUUGAGGGUCAGUAAUAAUAAAAUCGGGGUGUUGCUUUCUUUGUGACGCACCGGAGAUUGGGCUACAUUUAACUUUCGGGGUUAAGAUGCUUAAAAUUGAACUUUUUUGCGCACUUUUAGACGUACAUUAAUUUAUUUUAUCGUUUAUUCUGGUUCCAAUUAUCUAUUAGGUUCGAUCUUGUUGAUAUGAUCUCGUGCCCAUAAUUAUCAUCUUGUGACU
rnacentral:misc_RNA from 1 species